GCUUGGUUUGUCGUCAUGCAGCUAAUCUGGAAGAUGAGCAGCACUGUGGCCAGCCCAAUGUCAACAGUUGUCUCUUCGAGCAGUGGAAGAAAGUCGACCAGCUUUACUCCUGAAUUGCAGAGUAUGAUGUUUUCCCUGGGAGAUGCUCGAAGGCCACUCCAUGAAACUGCAGUACUGGUGGAAGACAUUGUCCACACUCAGCUGAUAAAUUUGUUGCAGCAAGCAGCUGAAGUUUCUCAGAUGAGAGGAGCUCGAGUCAUCUCUGCUGAAGAUCUUCUGUUCUUAAUGCGCAAAGAUAAGAAGAAGCUUAGAAGGCUACUUAAAUACAUGUUUUUUCGAGACUACAAAUCUAAAAUUGUCAAAGGAAUAGAAGAAGAUGACCUCCUCGAAGACAAAUUCAACAGUAAUAACACCAACAAAAGGCAGAAGCUUGCUCAAGACUUUCUCAACUCCAUUGACCAGACUGGAGAGCUCUUAGCCAUUUUUGAAGAUGAUGAGAUUGAUGAUGUCAAGCAAGAGCGAAUGGAGAGAGCAGAAAGACAAACACGAGCCAUGGACUCAGUCCAGUAUGCAGAAUUCUGUGAAAGUCGGCAAUUGAGUUUUUCAAAGAAAGCAUCCAAAUUUCGUGACUGGUUGGACUGUAGCAGUAUGGAAAUAAAGCCAAAUGCAGUUGCAAUGGAGAUUUUGGCAUAUUUAGCAUACGAGACUGUGGCCCAGCUGGUGGACUUGGCCCUUUUGGUUAAACAGGACAUGGCUCCCAAAGCUGGUGACCCAUUCAGUCAUGCCAUAUCUGCCACCUUCAUACAGUACCACAAUUCUACUGAGCCACAUCUCUUAGGGCAAUCUACCAGUGUGAAGACCAGUCUUGACUCUCCUGAAAACACACCACCUCCUACACCCACCCCCCCAGCAUCAGCAGGACAGCAGCACCUUGGGAAAACCCCAUCAGGAGCCUUGGGGAAUGGUGGAAUUGGACAGGACUCUACCAAAUCCAAACAAAGGAAAAGAAAAAAGAGCACUGCAGCCUGUGGUAUAGAGGCUCAAAGUGAUGCCAUCCAGCCCAGCCACAUCAGAGAGGCCAUUCGACGCUACGGCCACAAGAUUGGCCCCCUUUCCCCAUUCACAAGUGCCUACCGCAGGAACGGGAUGACUUUUCUCGCCUGCUGAUGUGGAUGUGGCUGCAGCAACAGGAAAGACAGUGUUAUAUUAAGACUGAGGCUGAAGCACAUCUUAUCCCUUGAAACAACCAUUGGUACCAAGCUGUCGCAGUACUGCCUGCAGUCAGACAUAGCAAAACUAAAAUGUCAGAACUUCAUGUUACACAUCACUCCACAUGGGAUUUCACAGAACAUGCUGUAGGCCAAGUUUUGAGUGCAGCUGGGCCAGUUCAUGGUUACAGAUGAGCACUGUGUGAAACAGAAUGAUUUCAACCUGAAAAAGGGCCGAACACGUUGGCUUUGGCUGGAUGUGCUGGGAGUUAUGGAGUUUGUAGGAAACCAAAACUCAGAAGGGGAGAAGCCCACACAAACCAAAGCAAAAACAGGGAUUUGCAGGAGCGCCUGCAAGCUGAACCUACACAAUUGGGAAGGACUUGACAUCUGGCAAACAGACUGACCUUUGUGUCAAGGAUGAACAUGCACUGAAAAUCUGCAGGGCAACUCACAGAAUCCCGAACUUGCUAAAGUCUCCAACCUUUUGCCAAGCUGCAAGGUGCAAGGUGCAAAGCCUAGGUAAUAUUUUGAUGUCACCCACAAUGGAUGUGGGGGUUUUUCUGGGCUGCUUCUGCUGUUGUGGGGUCCAAGAAUGUUCUUCAUCAUAACCAUUAAAAACAAAAGGAAAAUCCUGACUUCUUCAGUCAUUCUCAGGUCUGUAUGUACCUCAUGUUGUCUUUUCUUCAUCCAUCCAGAGUUCAAGAAGUGCUUGGAUAAUGCUGUCAGGCACGUGGUGUGAUUCUUGGAGUUGUCCUAUGCAGGGCCAGGAGUUGGACUUAGUGUUCCUUUUGGGUCCCUCCCAACUUAGGAUAUUCUAUGAUUCUAUCAUUGUUCUCUUUUCACCCAUAUGGCUAAAGAGAAGUGUUUUUAUUAUUUGCAGUAUUUGUCAUUCCAGAUAACCCACAUCUGACUUCCAGUUCUCACUUUAUUCCUGAAUUACUGGAUUACUUAUCUACAGCUGCUGGCACCCCAUUCUGCUCCUUUUAAGCAAUCUACUAACUCCUGAUAGUCAAGGCUGAUGAUCUAAUUUUAGUCCUGACAGUGCAAUUCAGUUUUCAGUCCUAACACUGAAACUCAGUGGAGCAGAAUCCACUAAUGGGACUCCUGUAUUAGUUAGCAUAGCACUUCCUAAAAUGCUAAAAGCACUGUUUAUAUUAAUUGUCCUGAAGACACUUGAGGUAAAUGGGAUUAAGAACAAGAAAUCAUAGUGAUAAACAACUUACAUGACCUUCUAAUAGAUGGCAUUUUGGCUGGAAAAAAGGAUUUCAUCCUUUUGCCAUGACCAAAAUUGUUGUACUCCAGAGAUACCCUUUGAUAUUCCAGAUCAUGCAACACACUUCCACAUGAAGUUCAAUAUUUAGUUCAACCCUUUCAUGUAAAUCUCUGAGCUGGGCAAAUUGCAAGUGAAGGAAGUAAAAGACUUGCAGGAAUCUGUUAUGAAAAGGCUGAUGAUUACAACUGAGAUUCCUCCUGUAUGAGAAAACCAUCCCUUGGUUGAUGGUGUGGCUGCAUCUUGGAACAUCAAGCACAGUGUUUAUGUAAAUCUGAGUGUUCUUCUGCUUGUUCUGCUACAAAAGCCAUUCUCCUUGGGACACAGAAGGAAAUCCAGUGAGACAAGGUAAUAGAGAUGGAAGACUGCUAAUGGAAAGAUUAGGUCUCUGGGCUGUCAGACUUGUCUCUCUUAAGCACAUGUUUAUGCUUUAAGUUAAAUAAUACAGCAUGUUUAUGCAUGUGAAUAUAUAUAUACUGCAUAUGUAUCUGAAUGUAUGAAUGGUAAGAUGCUGUUCUGUGCAAGAAAGUCACAUCAAACUAGUUUCACAUUUUUAUGUAUUAUAUUACAUUUCAUUACAUUUAUAUUACAAUGUAAAAGGUUUCUGCCUUUCCCCAGAAAACACAAUCUUAACAUUCAUGUGCUCGUGUUCAACAAGCCUGUACACACACAGGAUCUUGAAGAGCAAGUUGGUUUGGAUGUUACCAGAAUUUUCUUGCCCCGCAGAUGGUUUCUGUCUCCUAGCUCUGAAUAAAAUAUGUCCUUGCCAUUGCUUCAGUGCUGGAUUCAAGUCCUGUUGAGAGAAUCAGUGGGUUGGGGUUCCCACUACUCCCGGUGUCCUUGUCCUUUUCUUCCAUAAAAAAGUUUUAUAUGUUCCUGUCACUGUACUUAAUAAACAAUUUUAAAAAAAGAAAACCAAACCCAAUCCAUCCAAGUCUAUUCUACUUUACCAAGUCUUAUUUUCUUGCCCUUUGCAGACCUGGAUAUUACUUACAGGAACCUGUAUUUUGUGCAACAUAACUGCACUUAAGAGAUCAGGUCUCUCCAUUUGUUUCUCUUUGUAGGAGUAAGGAUUUAUUUACCGGUUUGUGUUUGAUAACUCUAGGACAGAAAUGCCUUUGUGUGUUUAUUUUCUAUGACAGUCUUUGUAAAGCUCUUUGGAGAUACUUUGUAGUCUUUGAAAAUAAUAGAAAAGGAGGGGAAGGAGUUGAUUUUGCUUCAUCUUCUUCUUCAUUGUCUUCCCACUUCUUUUGUCCAACCUUGAGGGGAAGAGAGCACACUAAAAGAAGAGCUCAUGCCUCCCACUGAAGCCUUUACCUGAAAUGUGCCACAUCUGGACAGACAUAGCAACAUACUGACCUAAUUCUUCAUGUUGUGCAGCUGUGUACUCACUAUUUUAAGAGAUAAAUGGAUAACAGUCUCUCCAUUCUCCAGUGUAAAUUGACCAAAACCUCUUCAUGUCAAUGAAGCGACAUAUGAAGUUGUGAAAGCUGAGAGCCUGGGGCUAAAUGUUAACUGCAAAAAGACAAGGCAGCUAUUGCAUUGGACUUUCAAAAAUUAUUGUGACCAUACAGCAUUUUCAGGUAGAAAUGGUGAUCUAGUUAAAAAAAAAGAACUAUGUCUGGGGUGAGAGGACUUUGUUGAUGUUCUCUGGGGUAUCACAAUACAGAUCUUGCACUGCCCAGGGUCAUCAGUUGUUCAAACUGAUUUUUCUCAGUAGGGAUGUUUUCUGCCUUUUCAGAUAUUAUUAUUUUUUUUUAUCAGAGUUAUAUUUUUGAAGGUGUCUGUACUCUUGUUGGCUGCUGGACAGCUGUAUCACAAGGAUUUCCCUCUGGUAUAAAACACAGAGCUCUUCUGUACCAGUGUGGAAUGCAGUAGCAAAUCACUGUACAGUGGCCCAUAAGGAUACCAGCUACCCUUAUAAACUUUUUAUAACUUAGGAAAAUAAACAUGUGGUUUCAGGGCUCUGCAUAGUCAGUACUAGCUGACUUGGAACUUGCUUUACAAAGCUAAAAAAGAAAAUAUUGGUAGAGCUAAUAAAUUUCCGAGGGAAUCAGCAAAUAGUGUUCUGAAAGGUCCGAAACAUUUGAUGGUUUAUGGAUAAUUUUGUAUUUUAUCUCUUGAAGCAUCAUCCAAGUUGAGCACUAAAGUGCAGUGUUCUCCGUAGUGAGUGCUGUGAUCUGGGAGCUCCUAUGGGACACCAGCCUCACAUCAAGUUAUCCAUGGAAAGACCUGCUAAUCCAGAGGAUGUGAUGUGCUCUCUGCAAGGCCAGCAGACGUGUCUCUCUCAGGGAGAAAAUAACUGGUUGUAGCAGCAGCAAGAAAGCAACCAGAUCUAUGCAGGUGGACAUUGCAGUGUGUCCUACCAUGACCUACUGUCUGAAUUGGAGCUCUGGUUAUGCAACAGAGUGGUGUGGAGUGGAGAGGGACUCUCUUACGCUCAGCCCAG